GAUGAACGCUGGCGGCGUGCAUAACACAUUCAAGUCGAACGGACUGAUUCGAUAGCUUGCUAUUGAAGAAAGUUAGUGGCGGACGGGUGAGUAACGCGUGAGCAACCUGCCUUUCUGAGGGGGAUAACACAGGGAAACUUGUGCUAAUACCGCAUGAAGCAUACGAACAGCAUUGUAAGUAUGUCAAAAGGAGCAAAUCCGCAGAAAAGAUGGGCUCGCGUCUGAUUAGAUAGUUGGUGGGGUAACGGCUCACCAAGUCGACGAUCAGUAGCCGGACUGAGAGGUUGAACGGCCACAUUGGAACUGAGAUACGGUCCAGACUCCUACGGGAGGCAGCAGUGGGGAAUAUUGGGCAAAUGGGCGCAAGCCUGACCCAGCGAACGCCGCGUGAGGGAAGAAAGGUCUUCGGAUUGUAAACCUUUGUGGACAGGAGAAGCAAGUGACGGUACCUGUAAAGUAAGCCACGGGCUAAACUACGUGCCAGCCGCCGCAGUAAC
rnacentral:rRNA from 1 species